rnacentral:tRNA from 1 species
UCCUGGUAGCUCAGAUGGUAAAGAAUUUGCCUGCAAUGCAGGAGACCUGGGUUCGAGCCCUGGAUCAGGAA